rnacentral:rRNA from 1 species
GACGAACGCUGGCGGCGUGCUUAACACAUGCAAGUCGAACGGAAAGGCCCUGCUUUUGUGGGGUGCUCGAGUGGCGAACGGGUGAGUAACACGUGAGUAACCUGCCCUUGACUUUGGGAUAACUUCAGGAAACUGGGGCGAAUACCGGAUAGGAGCUCCUGCUGCAUGGUGGGGGUUGGAAAGUUUCGGCGGUUGGGGAUGGACUCGCGGCUUAUCAGCUUGUUGGUGAGGUAGUGGCUUACCAAGGCUUUGACGGGUAGCCGGCCUGAGAGGGUGACCGGGCACAUUGGGACUGAGGUACGGCCCAGAAGCCUACGGGAGGCAGCAGUGGGGAAUAUUGCACAAUGGGCGGAAGCCUGAUGCAGCAACGCCGCGUGCGGGAUGACGGCCUUCGGGUUGUAAACCGAUUUCGCAUGUGACGAAGCGUGAGUGACGGUAAUGGGUAAAGAAGCACCGGCUAACUACGUG